UGUGCAAGUGACGAUAACAAUAGACAGGGACAUCAGUACCCAUUGGAGGAUGAUGAGUUGUCUAAAAUGGGAAUCUCUCUGAUGCACA
rfam:Gossypium arboreum cultivar AKA8401 contig_9023_3, whole genome shotgun sequence.